UACGUAGGGUGCAAGCGUUGUCCGGAAUUAUUGGGCGUAAAGAGCUCGUAGGCGGUUUGUUGCGUCGGCUGUGAAAUCCCGAGGCUCAACCUCGGGUCUGCAGUCGAUACGAGCAAACUAGAGUGUUGCAGGGGAGACUGGAAUUCCUGGUGUAGCGGUGAAAUGCGUAGAUAUCUGGAGGAAUACCGGUGGCGAAGGCGGCAUCCUGGACCGGCAUUGACGCUGAGGAGCGAAAGCCAGGGGAGCAAACGGG
rnacentral:rRNA from 1 species